rnacentral:rRNA from 1 species
GAUGAACGCUGGCGGCGUGCUUAACACAUGCAAGUCGAACGGGAAUUAUUUUAUUGAAACUUCGGUCGAUUUAAUUUAAUUCUAGUGGCGGACGGGUGAGUAACGCGUGGGUAACCUGCCUUAUACAGGGGGAUAACAGUCAGAAAUGGCUGCUAAUACCGCAUAAGCGCACAGAGCUGCAUGGCUCAGUGUGAAAAACUCCGGUGGUAUAAGAUGGACCCGCGUUGGAUUAGCUUGUUGGCAGGGUAACGGCCUACCAAGGCGACGAUCCAUAGCCGGCCUGAGAGGGUGAACGGCCACAUUGGGACUGAGACACGGCCCAGACUACUACGGGAGGCAGCAGUGGGGAAUAUUGCAAAAUGGGGGAAGCCCUGAUGCAGCGACGCCGCGUGAAGGAAGAAGUAUCUCGGUAUGUAAACUUCUAUCAGCAGGGAAGAUAGUGACGGUACCUGACGAAGAAGCCCCGGCUAACUACGUG